ensembl:lncRNA
GUUUGUGCGAAGAUGAGUGGGCCACUCACCUUUUAAAGUUUGAUUGCAUCGGUCCCUGGCUAAAUGGCCUACAGGUUCAGCUCCUCCAUCAUUCAUAGAGCAUUCUGGAGCCUGUGGGUCUACAGGAGUCCCCGUGGGUGUUGCAUUAUUCAGUGGUACUGGUGUGGCUAAGUACCGUGGAGCGCCUAAGGAUGAGCAAAGCCAGCAGCAGCCCCCGACCAGCUGGGGCUGGUGUCGUUAGCAAGGAGAUGAGUUGCAUUGCAUACCCGGUACAGACAGGGGUCUGGGGGCGGUGAACUCUGUGACCUGGUCACGCUGCCAGCAGGCAGAGCCUGAUUUUUUAGGGCAAAGUUGGUCCGUGAUUUUGUUUGUGUUAUUGUCCCUGUCCAGGAGGUUCUUCCAUUUGGCAGACAGACACCUGUUCUGGGUUGUAACAUCUGCAUGGCACUUGGGGGUAGAUGGAGGCGCAGGGGCAUGGUGGCGAUGCCAUGGUGUCGGGAUGCCACCCGGGGUUUGGAUCCUCUGGUGGAGGAAAGGCAGUGGCAGUGGGGGGAGUGACUGGAAACAUUUUCGGCGCCCAGGCCCCUGGACAUACAGCACAUGGUCAUGGAGGCAGCGGGUGAUUGGCCUAUAGGACUGGCUAUCUAUACAUUGUUCUAGCUGUUGGUUAAGUAAGCGAUUUUCCGAGGGUUGACUGUUAUGUUGACAGGUUCAUGAUGGAUAAGGAAUGGCACCAUGUCACAGCAAGGAACACCGAAGGGCUGCAAAGCAGCCUGCCCAUAACAGAUGACUGAACACUAGCAGAAGGUUUUCCCCCAUCUUUGGGUUGUUAUGGCUAUAGCAACUGAGCCUAUUGUGAAGAGGGGUUGGCUAUACUGUGAGCAAUUUAGUUAGUAGGGAGAAUCGCUCAUAAAAGACAUCCAAUAAGAAUGAGGCUUCCCACUCUGAUGAGAUAACAGACAGCUAACCACAGCUUCUGACCCAAAUCCCAGUCCUGGGGUGUGACUGAAGCUAGUCCUGUAGCGAAGAGCACAGCAAUAAUAGCAAUCAGGGGUAGAGCCAGGGUUGACAAUGAAAAUCCACUGAUAUUUUCAUAGCUGGAUCCUCGAGUUUCUGCUGUGCGUUGACCAGCCAGCUGCCGGCAUGUGGCUGGAGCAAGCUGAAGAAUUCUCAUGCUUCUGCUGUGCGUGGGCUGCUCAGCUUCCGGAGUGACUAGAGCAGGGCUCAGCGUCUUCCGUGGGUGAGGGCUGUUGGAACCAGACCUGGAGGAGGUUUUUGGGGUCCUGAACUGCUUUCCAGCUGUCCUCAUCACAGGAAGCUGCUGCCUUCUUGACUCUGGUGUGGUGGGUCCAAGGGAUGACGCCUAUAACUUCAACAGCAGUAGGGGUUGCCAGGACGACCAUGCGAAGGCCUGUCCAAACUGGCUGAAGUGGGUUUUUUUUUCUAAUCUAACCCAUACCUCAUCUCCUGGCUGAUAGGGAUGAAGCCAAUUGCCCAGAUGAAUGGGUAUUCUUUCUAAGGUUUAUCGGAAGGUACGGUGGAAGACUUUCCCAGGGCCUGGAGGCGUCAGGACAUCUCCAGGUCAGCUAGUUGUUGGUGGUCUCCCUUGACCUUUCCUAUCUCGGGGGUGGUCUCCCGUAUAAGAUCCCAAAGGGAGAAGAGCCUGAGGACCUCGGGAUGCAUUUACGGAGGGAGGUGAGAGUGCCCAGAAUGAUAAGGCAGCUUGUUCUAGUGCUGUCCGGGUGUUGCCCGGGGGGUAUUCUUGAACGACUGUAGCGGGAAUUUCUAAUCAUGUACUUUCACAGUCUUGAGAAAUUUCAUAGAAAUAGCACCUGGAAGCACAUCAUAUAUUAAGAAACUGUGUUGAUGAUAUAUCAACAAUGAUGAAAACCAUUUUUCAUGUUUUUCUUAGAAUAAUUGCCUUGUUACAGACCCCAAGGCCAGACGCAGAAGGGAGUUAUGACUGGGAUCGUGAAAGCAUGGACCUUGGAACACUGGGUUGGCGUCAGGGCAACAAUUGCCUGGAGCCCAACACUGGGAUGAAGCACAAGACCGCUACAAGUGAG